UGAAUUCUAAACUUGUUCUGAUUAGUUCAACUAUGCAGCCAGGGAUUGUGUGAAAGCACACUAGCAUUCUUCUCAGUUUCCUUGGUGAUCUUUGGAUCCAUAAGCUUCCCUUUCAGAAAAUUUGAGUACCAUUCUGCAGAAAGCUUAGGUUGCCUCCUUAAGUUUGGAUCAUUCAUAUCUAUGUAAUAUAGACCAAAACUUAAUUCAUAUCCACCCUCAAUCUCGAAUGUAUCAAUGAAGGACCAUACAAAAUAACCCUUUACGUUUAAUCCACUCCUGUCAAUGUGUCGAAAAGAAAGGAAAAAGAAUAAACAAAAAUCAGCUUUUCUACACCUUUUUAACUUUCCCUCUUGUAAAUGAAAAUAAAAGUAGAAGUACCUCAGUGCAUCAACAAUGAUUCCAACGUAUGCAUGCAAGUAAUUCACCCUGGACCAGUCAUCUAAUGGUGAAUUAUGAACUGUUUGUUGGCCUGCAAAGCUAAAACGGCUUACCAUACAACUACAUAAUAGGACAGAUGACUGUGCUGAAAAACGCAUCAAUUAUGGAACUUCUGAAUGCCAAGUUGGAAAAUUGCCAUACCAUUUUCUUGUAUGAAAAUUGGAAUAUUGCCAUAAGUGCUCCUUAGUGAGUCUAACGUCCUUAGGAAAACAUUGGGAGUAAUUGGCACCUAAACCCAUCAGCUGGUUAGUGGAUUGUAUUAUUGCUAAAUCUUUAAAAGAAAGGAAUACAUAGAGAGUGGAAUAGCACCAUGUUCCUGCUAUUACCUCAGGUAUAGUUAUAUCAUUUGGAAGAUACACUGCAACCAGAAAGAGCAAUAAUCAGCUGAUUCAUUUCCACAAAAUAUAAAAUAGCAUGUCAAUAAGUCCAAUUCCAUUCAUAAGAAGUAUCUUGAUUCUUAAACUGUAGGAUAGUACCUCUCACAAUAAAGAAACAUUUUUGUUCAUCCUAGAUAUAGAAUUGGUUAUGCAAUAAAAAUGGGUCAGGGAAACAGCUUGUGACAUACAUUGAAAUUUUGCUGCUACAUCUUCUAGGCAAUCCCUGUUCUCCUUCUGCAGGUAGCCUGGACUGUCCUUAACAUAAAGUGAGUAGUAAAAGUUUAUUCCUAAGAAAUCGAUUGAGCCCUUUACUAGAUUUGAUUCCUUUUGAGUGAAGGAAGGAAGCCUUGAGCCAGCAUUCUUUUUCAUUAUAUCUGGGUAAUCUCCAAAUAUAAAGGGAUUCAUAAAGCUGCACUACAAAACCAACUGUAUAAUGUAUGAUUCAAACAUUUAUUUGUUUAGGAAGAUUAUGUUGGAUUUUACAAAAAUCCCUUACUAAAUUAUUUUGAAGUGAUGCUCCUUUGAAAUCCCAAGAUGCUAAUUUAUUAAUGUCAACAGACAUUGGAAAGAGAUACCAUGGCUAGAUUGUUACUUACCACCCGAUGGAGAAGUCUUGGGCCCUCUGAACGGCCAUUAUAUCUUCAGUAGAAUUUGUUUGAGGAAGAAAACCAAGAAGAAGGAGAUUAAACCCAAUUAAUCCAUGCUGCAUGCCCUGCAUCCAGUAAAAAAAUUGGUUUAUUGAAUAAAUUAAACUAUCUUAUCACCUUUACCAAAAAUCAUCAUCAUGAUCAUCACCUUACAUUCUAUCCUUCUUGAUUGUGGUUUAAAAUGCAAAUAGAAGGCCUAAUGAAUGGCAUAGUAGAGUGGCUAGAAUGGGCAUUUGAUACAUAAUUUUUACCUGGUAUUUCUCUCUAUAUACCCUAGCAGCUGAACCGUGUGCUAAUAACAUAUGAUGGGCAGCCAAAUAUGGCUCAGUUGAGGAAUUUCCACUGGAACAGUUCGUUAAAGGGGAAGGAGAACACCUCUGAGGUGGCAUGGUUCCUGUAUCAUAGCCCAGUACUACAUUCGCAUUGGCCUCAUUCAGAGUAGUCCAAUACUUGACUCUGUCUCCAAAUUCUCUAAAGCACACUUCUGCAUAUUUUGUGAAGUCUUUCCUACAAACAUAUAUAUAUAAAUAUGUUAUACCAUUUCUCAAUUUCAUGCCAGAUUUAAUUUACAUAAUCUCUAUCUAGGACAAGACUGUAACACAACUAGAGACUUGAAGUUUGAGAACCAUACACAACUCUUCGACUAACCCAUCCUCCAUAUUCAUCCUGAAGUGAUUGUGGUAGGUCGAAAUGGUUUAAUGUAACAUGUGCUUCUAUUCCUACGUUAAAAGAAAUCAUAGAACAAAAAUAUAUUUAUUAGAUAACUUGGAAGAACCUCUUACGUGUUAAUCAAAUCUAAGAGGAAAAUCUAGUCUUGAGAAGAACCAUUGCUGAUCAAUUCAUUAAUAAGGUUGUUGUAAAACAGUAGUCCCUUGGGAUUCACUGGUCCUCUUCCAUCUGGUAAUGGUAAUACACUCAAACAAGGUCAGAACAUGGAAAUAAUGUUUGAUGCAGGAAACUAUAUUCAAUUGGACUCAGAGACUCAUUGCCCCUAAAUUAAACCAAGUGCGUGUAUCUAAUACAAUUUACUUUUUCACAUUUUAUUUUAGACAUUAGUUUAAGAGUACCCUGACAACAGUUUAAUGAUCACCUGGAAUAAGCCUUGACCAUGAUAUGGAAAAUCUGUAGCCUUCUAAGCCCAUGUUGGCCAUGAGCUUAACAUCUUCCUGCAGGAGAAUCAAAGUAGGAUAUUAGCUCAAAACAAACUAUAAAGUCUUUUUAGUUGAACAAGAAUUUAAAGCAAAAGGUGCAUGUAAGAUGCAUAAAUACAACAAUUUCUUUUGGUUCUUUAUGCAUACACUUGCACUCCAGGGUCACUAACCUUAUAUUUGUGAUAAUGAUUACAUGCAACAUCUCCAUCACCUGCAUACCUAUUUCCUGAACAUAUGUUGGCAUUAAAUUUGUAUGAAGAAAAUAAUAGCGAUAAACCUAAAAAGAUAGAUUUAGUAUUUCAAAAGAAAUGGAGCAUGUUGUAACUUGUAUAUAUGAGAGUACUGAGUAGAGGGUAGUACCAUUUCCAGAAUGAGAGAAAGUGUCCCAUAUGCUUGGCUUCCUGCCAUCUUCAUUUGCUGCACCUUCAAUCUUUCACAUAAUUCAUAAUAUAUCAACAAAUUCAGCAAAGAAUCACAAGACUAGGGCAGUGAAGAGUGUGAAAAAAGAGGGAAAGGCAGAGAGAAGAACCUGAUAAGCUGAGGUUGAUGCACCAAACACAAAAUCAGGAGGGAACUGGUCUCUGCUCAAGGCAUGAGCACAAUGGUGUACUAUGAGAAGUACUAAUUCUAUAACUGUUAAAACCUUCAUCAUCAAUCUCCUUCUCUCCAUGCUUUUCUUCUUACUGUCUCUCUUCUGAUUUUAUGUUUUGACUAUGAAACACAAAUGAUAAGGAUAUUGCUUUCUUGGGAUUCAGCUUUUAUUUCUUUUGAUUAAUUAUUCUCAUUCUUCUGAGUUUUGUAUGUCAAAUCACCUGUAUAACUAUUUUCUUGAUGUAUGUGAAAUUACGCUUGUUUGACACGUGUAAAUUAGAUCUUAUCUUGAGAAAAAAAAAGUCCAAAUUAUUUUAUAUUACAACAGUUAAAAAUAGAAUUUUUUUUUUUAUAAAUUAAUGUCUUUAACUGGCCAAAUAACAUUUUAAAAAAAGUAAUAUAUUGAUAAUUUAUACCAAUUUACAGUUUUAUUUUUUUAUUUAAAAUUUGUAUCAAUUUACACAGUGACAAAAAUAAUUUUUUUUCAUAUCAUCAAUCACAAAUUAUAUAUUAGAAGAUUACUUUAAAAAAUAUAUAUACCAAUACAAUUUAUUUCAUUCUCAAGAGAUUCUUUUAGCAAUUGUCAUUUUUUCAGAUGUAACAUUGAUAUUUUAUUAUGGAGAAGGCAGUACUGUAGGCAGCCGAUAAUUUUGAAACAGCUUUUAAAAAUUAAAGUUGCUAUGAAGUGAUUUAUAACUGUAUAAUGAAAUUAUUAGAGAAAUUGUUAGGUCAUACUAACCAUACUUACACCAUAUUUUAAUUUUUAAAUAAACAUUCAUUUAGAUUAUGUUCUUAAUAUAUAAUAUUUAUCAUUUUUAUAUUUUAACAAGUAAAUUCUUUUUACUUAUUUUAUUUUAAAAUAUUAUAUUUACUAAAACUUAAAUAAAAAAUUACGAAAGUUAAAAUUUUAAAAUGUAAAAUUGAAAAUUUUCUACAAACACAAAUUUGAAUAAUUUAAUUAAUAUAUACUUUAAAAUUUAUAUUAUCACUAGAUUAUAAGUUGUAGUAUAAAGAAUAUAAAUUUCUAUUUUUAAAAUUUUAUUAUUUUAAUAAAAACUAUUUAUACAAUAUAUGAAUACAUUUAUUAAUUUAUUAUUAUAUUCACAUGGGAUUUUAAUAUGAAUAAAGAUGGAUGCGUAAUUUAAAGUUAGAGUGUAAUAAAAAAAAUUAUCUAAUGGUUAUGGAUAUAGUUAUGAAUGAUAUUUAAUUUUUUAAAUUAAUUAUGAUGAUAUAUUUAUCUUAUCUUUGUCGUGUUGUUACAUCUAUUUUUGUAUCGUUGUAUUUGUUUUUAUUUUAAAUUAAAUUAUUUAUAAUUUAUCAAAUAAUUUAAAAAAUUUAUCUUUAUUUUAUUUUCGAUUAGUUGUUCUUUAGUUUCAUUUUAAUUGAAAAAUAUCUCUUUGUUUUGAUACACAAUUUUUUUAUUUAUUUUCUCUUUUAACUUGUCCAAUAUUCACAAAGUUUAUUUAGAUUUUUAAGGUAUUAUUCUUCUUACUAUAAUUUUAAUUAUUCAUUUGUGUGGUUUUGUUCAAAUGGUGUAUUACUAUUUUACUAAACACAAACCUCAUCUCUUUUUAAUUAAAUAAUUUUUAGAAAACACGUUUGAUUAUUACUCAUUAAUAUUUUUAUUUAUUGUUUAUUUGUUUGACAUGAGAAGGUUUUACUCUCAAAUUCAAUUAUUCAAUAGCGGAAACCUUUAGUUUAUUGGACAACCUUAUUUUUUUUUCCUUUAAAAGUUUAAUGCUCAAUGAAUUUGAAGGCACAACCCAUUGUCUCAGAGACAUCAAUCUCAAAUAAAAUAAACAUAAAAAUGCAUUUCAUAAUCUUUAAUACAUUUUUCUCAAUCUAAAAAUACAUUAUACAUUACACAAUUUAAAAAUGUAUUCCAAAUUAUGUAAUCCUGAAAUGCAUUCUAGAUUAUUCAAAUUGAAAAUGCAUUAUAAAUUGCACAAUUCAAAUUGUUGAACAAUAUUGUGAAAUAGAAAAAUUCAAAUUGAACAAUCUAGAAGCCAUUCUGGAUUAUAUGAUUUAGAAUAGGCUUUUGAAUUUAACAAUUUAAAUUACAAAAAUCCAACUUUUUUUUUGUUUCGGAUUGCUUGAUGAAUAAUGUUAUCUUAGAUUAAACAAUCUAGAGAUGUUAUAAAUUAGUCAAUCUCAUAUGUUUCCAAAGAAAAAAGAGCAUAAAACAUGAGAACACAAGGAUAAUGACAAAACUCAUAUUGUAUGUUGCAUGUGACAUCAAUGAUAUCAUAAGGUAGAUCAUUAACAUGGAGAAUAUUUUUUUAACUACUCUUAUGGAAAUUCUUCUUUUUUAACUACUUUUAAAGUGUACAUAAAUCCGUAAUAUUUUAUCAUUUGGAUAAAAAAAUUAAACUCAAUUAAUUAUCCACAACAACAAAAUUAACUAUGAUAAAAUUUAAAAAUAAUUUAUUUUAGAAUUAUUUUUUAUGAACAUUUUUUUAAAUCUAAUAAUAAUUUUAAUUUUGAUAAUUUUGAUAAUUAUUAUUUUUCAUUAUCAUGAGAAAAUGGUGUGACAAAUGAUUGUAAGGGUAUGUGUAUUUUCAAUUAAUAAAGAGGAUUUCUUUUCCCAAUCAUUUUGUAACCAUUUUAAAUGUACACAUUUUUUUAAUAUUACCCUUAUCAUUUUUUUUUAUCAGCAAUGAAUAAAUAAAAUUAAAGGGAUACUUCAGGGGUAUCCCAACCCAUAAACAGUGACCAGAAGUGGACUUUCUAUUUCAUUCACAAAAGAAACUCUCCUUUAUGGUUGGAUCAUAACAACCUUAAAGUGAGAGAACCAUACCCAAAAAAUAACCAACAGGUUGCCUCAUAGCAUCAUUCAGCUUUACCAAAACACCCAGAACCGAGGCCACCUACAUUCACCACGGCACACGCACACAUGGAGAUCGUCGUUUCAUCGACCGACGAUCAUGUUGAUCUUUGCAUAACUUCGACGACCACCGACUACACAUGCAUGGAGAUCGUUGUUUCAUCGACCGACGAUCAUGUUGACCUUGUCUAACUUCGGCGACCACCGACUACACAUAUAUGGAGAACGCCGCUUCAUCGAUCGGCGAUCAUGUUGACAACGCCGCUUCAUCAACCGACGAUCAUGUUGACCAACUUCGACGACCACUGACUACAAACGCAUGGAAAUCGCCGUUUCAUCGACCGACGAUCAUGUUGACCUUUGCAUAACUUCGACGACCACCGACUACGCGUGCAUGGAGAUCGCCGUUUCAUCGACCGGCGAUCAAGUUGACCUUGUCUAACUCCACACAUAUGGAGAACGCCGCUUCAUCGAUCGGCGAUCAUGUUGACAUGGAGAACGCCGCUUCAUCAACCGGCGAUCAUGUUGACCUUUGGAUACCUUCGGCGACCACCGACUACGCACACAUUGAGUGUAUCUGAUAUAAGAAGGCCAUAUACUACUCUAUAUGGUUAUCAAUUGUUCCUUUUCCAACCCACAAAAGACGAGCCACUAAACAUUCCACACUUAAAAGUCAAACCAUGUAGUGCCAAAAGCCAAACCAUGCACACCUCUCAUACUUCACAACCCGUUUAGGGUCUUUGGAUCUGCAGUGGCGUCCAAGCACGCGUGACAAACAAGUAAGCAUUAGACCCUCUAACACCAUUCCACCUCACACCUAGAAUGAUUCACUAACCCUGCAGGUUGCAGUAAAACCACAACUGCAGCAUAUUGCUUGAGAUCCUAUGCCAAGGUAUUCUCUCCUUGCAUCCAGCAUUUCACCUCCUCUGUCAAUGUGAUCCCAGACCCUCCUUCCUUCGAAUGAAAGCCUGCUCCAACACUGCAUUCAGCCAGCUCUUCCCCUUCCCCUGAUACCUUCGUUGAUGUCCUCUGCCUUACUCAUUUGCAGCUGGUGAUGCACACCAGAGGAUUCAUCAUCCAUUCAGCNNNNNNNNNNNNNNNNNNNNNNNNNNNNNNNNNNNNNNNNNNNNNNNNNNNNNNNNNNNNNNNNNNNNNNNNNNNNNNNNNNNNNNNNNNNNNNNNNNNNNNNNNNNNNNNNNNNNNNNNNNNNNNNNNNNNNNNNNNNNNNNNNNNNNNNNNNNNNNNNNNNNNNNNNNNNNNNNNNNNNNNNNNNNNNNNNNNNNNNNNNNNNNNNNNNNNNNNNNNNNNNNNNNNNNNNNNNNNNNNNNNNNNNNNNNNNNNNNNNNNNNNNNNNNNNNNNNNNNNNNNNNNNNNNNNNNNNNNCAAGAACAGAUGCUGGCAUGAUUCCUCCUUUGUCUGGCACAUCGGACACACUAGUGUGCUUAACACAACUCCUCUCCUACCCAAAGACACCCUAGUUGGCAUUCUGCCCAUCAAAACCCUUCAUGUUGUGGUUAACACGUUAGGGAACGCCUUAGCCUUCCAUAAAUACUUAAAGGCAUCAUAGUGUGGUCCCCUAUCAAUUUUAUCAAGGCAAACAUAAGCAGAACUGACAUUAUAACAUCCAGAUUCAUCACCUGACCAUACCUGUAUAUCCUUUACAUCCUUAAUGAUGAUGGAUCUAGUUAAGAGUAUACCGAGCUCCUCUUCCAUCGGGAUUUCCCACUCAAAUCUUGCACGCCUCCAUCUUAAACACCACCUCCACCUCGCGUCGUCCCACAUACCUACCUCCUCCACCUUCUGACCUUGGUUCAACGACACAGAAUACAAUCUAGGGAACAAUGUCUUUAAGUUGACAUUUCCUAACCAUACAUCCUCCCAAAACCUUGCUUUAUCACCCCUUCCUACUUUCCACCCCAUAGCUUCUUGAAACCACCCAUCUCCGUCGCCCUCCCCACAAACCUUCCCAAGGUCUUUCCACCACCAGGAUUGUAGUCUCAUAGAUGUAUGAUUACCACCAUGUUUCAGAUCAUACUUAGAGUCCAGGCAUUCUUUCCAUUUUCCUUUCUCACUCGAAAUACACCGCCAUCUCCACUUAGCUAGAAGUGCUACAUUAAACUUCCGAAUAUCUCUUAUACCUAGACCACCUUCCUCCUUCGGUUUACAUAUGAUUUUCCAGCUUACCCAUGAUAUCGGUAUCUUCUCCUUGCCCCAUCCCCAAAGAAACCUUCUUUGGAUGCUAAUGAUACUUUUGCAUACCGAGUCCGGUGCUUUGAAAAGAGACAGAUAGUAGAGCGGAAUAGCCGUGAUAACAGAUUUUAUUAAACAUAUUCUACCAUCCAUAGACAAAAACCGCCCUUUCCAUACACUAAGCCUCGAUUUCAGCUUGUUCAGAACCGGCUCCCAAAACUUCUUCUUCCUUGGAUUACCCCCCACUUCUAAUCCCAAAUAAGUAAACGGGAUUCCCAUUUGAUCACAAUUCAGAGUCUUUGCGUAACACUCCAAAUCAUGUUGGGGGACAUUGAUACCAGUUAUCUUUGACUUAUGGAAAUUGAUCUUCAGGCCAGAUGCCAGCUCAAAUCCCCUAAGAAUAGCCUUGAGAGUGACUAUAUUGGCAUAAGAAUUCUCACAUAGGAACAAGGUGUCAUCUGCAAACUGGAGAAGAUUCAAUUCAACCUCCUUUCUUCCGAUCUUAAGGCCCUUUAAUAAAUCAGCCUUCACAAUUGCCUUACUAGCCCUGUCAUGCCUUCAGCAACCACUAAAAAGAGAAAUGGAGCUAAAGGGUCACCCUGCCUUAGCCCCCUUGAUUGUUUAAAUUCUUCCGUAGGACUCCCAUUUACGAGUACUGACACCGUUGCACUUUCCAUACACCCCUGAACCCACAUAAUCCACCUCUUGUGGAACCCCAACCUCUGUAACAUAUCAUACAGGAACUCCCAUCUUACUGAAUCAUACGCUUUUUCAAAGUCCACUUUUAAACACAGACCGCUCCUCCCUCCCCUCUUUAGAUCCUCCACCGUUUCAUUGGCCAAAACGACACUGUCAAGAAUUCCUCUGUUCUUUAAGAAAGCCGACUGUCUUUCAUCGAUAACAGCCGAUAGCACUUUCUUAAUCCUUUCCGCCAUCACCUUUGUUAUGAUCUUAUAUACAGCUCCCACCAGAGAUAUUGGCCUAUAUUGCUCGAAAGUGAACGGAUCCCUUACUUUAGGAAUAAAAGCUAUGAAAGAGGCGUUACAGCCCUUCGGUAUACACCCUUUCUCCUGAAAAAGACACACCGCUGCCACAAUGUCUUCUUUAAUGNNNNNNNNNNNNNNNNNNNNNNNNNNNNNNNNNNNNNNNNNNNNNNNNNNNNNNNNNNNNNNNNNNNNNNNNNNNNNNNNNNNNNNNNNNNNNNNNNNNNNNNNNNNNNNNNNNNNNNNNNNNNNNNNNNNNNNNNNNNNNNNNNNNNNNNNNNNNNNNNNNNNNNNNNNNNNNNNNNNNNNNNNNNNNNNNNNNCUCUUCUCAAAGAUCUUCUUGGCUUCCAGGCGAACUGUACUAGGUUCUUCACACCAUUGAUCCCCUACCUCCACACCUUUUACUUCAUUCCUCAAACGUCUCCACCUCAGAGUUGAGUAGUAGAACUUAGUACAUGAGUCCCCAUACUUAAGCCAGUUUACUCUAGCCUUUAGACACAUGACAGACUCCAGCUUCUUGUCAAUAUCCCUCAGACAACCAAUCAACUCACACCUCUUAGCCCUAUCACUUUCCGUAAGGUUACUGAGACAAUCUUGGUUAUCAAAAUUCGCAAUUGCCUGCAAUAUCUCCCUCUUCUUGGAAUGAAUAUUACCAAAGACAUCCUUAUUCCAUGCUUUUAGAUCACCCUUCAUCCGCUUCAACUUCUCUUUACACUUAACGAAUUCACACCCCUGAACAUUGUAAGAGGACCAUUUUUCCUUUAACAUCUCACUAAAACCUUUUUCCAACAUCCAGGCAUCGAUUGUUCGGAAAGGCUUAGGCCCCCAAUCUUUAGCCAUAGAUUUGACCACAAUAGCACAAUAUUCAGAUACUUCCCUUUGUUGAACAUAAUGUUUGCUCAUAGGCCAAUGAUCCAACCACUCUUCCGUAACAAGCACCCUAUCCAGUCUGCUUUUCGCCGAGCCAUUAGAUUUGAACCAUGUGAAUUUUUUACCCACAAUAGGUAUAUCAAGCAGCAGGUUUGUAUCAAUGAACCUGUUAAACCCAUCCAUCUCACUUGAUUGGUCAACCCUAUCCUUACAUCCUUUCCUUUCACCUCGUCUUCUAAUGGCAUUAAAAUCACCACACAUACACCAUACCAUAUCCUGUGAAGACGCUUUAAUAUUAGACAACUCCUCCCAAAGUAACCUCUUAUCACUCAGAUUACAUGCAGCAUACACAUUUACCACUACACAUCUUAUGUUGGUUUUUGAAUAAUAACCAAACACCACAAUGAACCCCUUUCCCCUGACAUGACUAUNNNNNNNNNNNNNNNNNNNNNNNNNNNNNNNNNNNNNNNNNNNNNNNNNNNNNNNNNNNNNNNNNNNNNNNNNNNNNNNNNNNNNNNNNNNNNNNNNNNNCACAUUGACAGAAUGCUACCACUUCCGUUAUCACCUUCAUAAUGUAACCACCCAAUAUUGUUAUUCCCCCACAAAGAAAAGCACUUAGCAUCAGAAAACAUUUUCGAUUUAGUUUCUUGAAUAGAGACAAAUUCUUCUCCUUCACACCUGAUAAGUGUCUAAUUUCAGUAAUAUUUCAUAUUAAAAUAUAGGCACUUAUGAGGAUUUAUUGCUAAUUUUCAUAUAAAAUAAUCCCUAAUUUAUGAAUUUAUACCUUUUUACAUUUUUUAUGAUCUUUAUUUGAAUAAGAGUAUUUUAUUCCCAAAUUUGGUGUUAAUUGCAGAUUUCUAAGGAAGAUUGAAGAUUUGGAUUAAAGAUGAAUGAUUUGAGCUAAAAAGAUAAAGAUAGAAGGUCCCAGAAUGGAAAAAGAUGCAAAGAAAGAUUAGGCCUUUUUUAUGUUUUAUCAUUUAGCCCGUUAGCACGACACAAUAAACAACCUAACCCUAGAAAACUAGGAUAAAUAGAGGGCUAGAGGCUCAACCUUAGGGUGCCAGAUUGAGAGGAAAACACCAUAGAGUGAAUUGUAACCCAAUUGGGAGAAUGGAAGGUGAUAGAAGUAUGCGUGGCUAAUUCUACCCUUUGGGAUUGGGAGUAAUCUGCUCAAACUCUUAUGUAUUGAGGUGAUAUUUUAUAUAUUAAUAUUCAGUUCUUGAUUGAUUAUUGGUAUUGUUGUUUUACUUUUAAUUUUCCGUGACAAAUUGAGAAUCUUAAAUCUGACCGGGAGGUAUUUUUAGGGUUCAGACCUAAACAACAAUACUUAACAUAUUUGAGUGCUAGGAAUAGACUUGAAAUGUUAAUUGCUAUUAAACGUCUGAGCUUCGUUCUAAGUUGUUCUUAUAAUUAUGCGAGGGAUCGAUAAUUAGGGGACAUUCUUAAGGAUUUUAUAUGCGAGGAAUCGAUAUAAAUGAUUUUUAUACGGGCAUCAAUUUCAAUCAAAGAACUUAAUAUUGACAUGCUAAUCAAAAUACUUGAGAGUGAGAGAGAUGAAACUAAUCCUUAUUUUUCCAAUUGAAACAACUAAUUCUUUGUUUGUUUUCUUAUUGAUUAGUGCCAACACAAUUAAUUCAAAACUCUUUUAAUUGUUCUGUUUUUAUAUUUAGCGAUUAUUGUACUCGAUAAUUCACUGUUCCUUGUGGGAUCGAUAUCCGUCCUUAGGGACAAUUAUUACUUUUGACAAACGCGGUGCACUUGCCGUAAAAAGUCAUCAACACCGUAUGAUACGUCUCAAAUAACUUGUUUUGAUGCUCCCCCCCAUACCUCUAAUAUUGAAAUUCACAAUUAACAUUAAUCACCUUUUACAUCCCCUUCUUGUUGCAGUUCACCACCUCUUCAUCCCUUGCUUCCAUUCUCUCAUAUUCAUUAAUGACUUCAUCUUCAUCUCCUCGGCAUGCUAUCCCACACCGCUUUCCAGAUUCCCACAGGUUGAUAGGAUCAUCCGCAGCACGAUAGGAGCACCAACGGGAGUUGCACAGAUUGAUGUCCUUAUCAGAGAUUGAUUCCAUCGAAACACGGUUCCCACGAACCAGUUUUGCACCAGCCUUCUGAAGUCUCGCAUUAAUCCUUGUUGACCGUCUCAGAUUGGGUACCGAAUCCCCUAGUUCAAACAAAAUUUUCUUCUUUCUCCUUCGUAAAGGAGAAUUAGACAUACUUCUUGCCUUUAGUCCCCCCUUUCCUGUAAAUUUUAUAGCGGAUGCACACAACCAUGUAUCUCCUUCUGUUCCGUCAUCUUCUUGAGUCCCUUCCUCUUGCUCCACACCUUUCCCUUUCUUCAUGAUUUUCGGCGAUCCAUUCUCAAGCAUGGCUGCUCCCAUUGGGCUACCUCCAUAAAGAUGCUGACUUGAACCAUGAUUUUCCUUACUCAUCGGGCCUCUUACAAGGCUUUCCCCAGUUUUACCUAUAUUACCAUUGGCACCCCUACCACCACUAGCCACUUCUAUUGACCAUUUCGCAGACCCACUCUGUUCCGCUUCUAUUUGGGUUGGGAUACAAUGGGCCUUCAUCUCCCUUGCACAGCCCAACCCUACGUUGGCUUCUUUUAAGUUAGUACCACAUUCUAUGUCAAUCUCAAGUCUUGCCACCUCAGCUUUUGUAGGGGCACUACGUAGGACGGCGCCACAGACACCUUCAGAAAGGUAGAAGUCAACAUCUUCAGACACCUUUUGCUCCUUCCUUGCUACAUUCAUUAUAGCUGUGUAACUUUUCCCCUGACAUGUGAUAUUUUCCUCAGUGUAGCCCCUAGUGAUUGGCGUUAGCGGCUUUGUCGUUUGCGAACACUGUUCAUCUUCUUCCUUUGUCUCCCAUCCUUCUUUCGCCCCGAUUGACCAGUGGUUCUCCCCCUCCCACGGCCGGUGCUCCUCCAAACCAUUAUUGGCUGUAAAAUCUGUUUCUUCUACAUAAGUUUCUGAGGAGGAAACGCUGUCUGAUGAUUCUGACUGGGCACUUUUAAACUUAUAACUAUCUUCACAACACAUUGGUAUCUCCUCCUCAAUAAGAAUAUUGCAUAGCUGCUUAUUAAUUUGCACACAUUUUGCUAAUCUCGUACUAUCAACUUUCAAAAUACGAACUUGGAGCCGUGCAUAUGCCAACAUCUCCCACGAUUCAGUCACCUUGUCAAUGGAUAUAAGUGAAGCCGAAGGGUUCACAAUUCCGAUCAACUUGGCAAAGCAGUCCCUAUUCCAAUAUGCAGCGGUAGACCAUAACAUCUUAUCCAUACUAUUCUAUGACUCGAUCUGCUAGAUACCGUCCAAGGCAUUAUGCUGGCAAAAACAUUGUCAAACCAUUCACCAUUUUGUUUAAUAAUCUCCUCCAUACUCUCCCUUUCUCUCGGGGUAAGCAUUAUGAGGUUGUCCCCCAUGGCCCUCAAUGUAAGCAUACUCAUUCCCCCUUUCACUACUUCCUCCCCCAAUCUGUCAUUAUCCAUAGCGUCUCGGAGCUUCCCAAUAGCACUUCUUUCCAUCCACGGAAAAACAGAGAAAUGGGUUUUGAUGCUCGGACCCUUCCAUUGUUCCGAGUGUUCUCCCGUCACAGCUUCAACAUAGGAUCUUCUCCCCUUCUUCUCCACCCAGGUCUCCUGACUACUCUGUUUUCUGCUAGGCUCAACUACAUUCUGAUAUCGCUUCCUUUGUUCCGAUUGUUUUUCUGCGUGGAUAACCCUCGAGACCUUCGUGUCCAGUCUGCGUGAUUCGGAGUAAGUUCUCUUAUAUUUUGGAGUGUUAAUGUAGAGUUUCCUACUCCCUAUGUACACCUGAUCCAGCUCUUUCUCCAACUGCCCUGCAUUUCUAACACCAAAGAAGCUCACAAACCCAAACCUCCGUCCCCAUUUGUUAAGUCUUCGUGGGAUAAAGACCUCUUUCACUCUGGCCCAUUUCUGAAAGAUCUUGAACAUAUCGAGUUCUCCAAGCUCACUUGGGAAAUUCGAGAAGAAGAAAGUUAUGUAGUCUUGUGCAGUACCGUUUCUUCGUCCUCUCUCCGUGCGGCCUCUCCUCUCCAUUAGGGAGGGGGAGCUUUUUUAAUUAAUGUGUAGUCAAAACAAACCUUAUCCAAAAGUAACCACAACGGAAGAUAGACGCUACCUUCUAAGGACAGUGAUAUGUUUUAUUCCUCUGGUUUUCCUUCACAAGACCAAGUUCGGAAGAGGCCCUGAAGCUUUCAACAUUUGGACUGCUCAGUACAACUCCUUCAGAAGCACCUGUGAACUCCAGUUGUUGAAAACCAACGCCGAUUACAACCAGAAUCAAGAGUUAACCAUCUCAAUCCACGACCACGCAUUAACCUACCCAAACGACUACUUUAAAUUUAAGUUAGACGUGAGUGUUAAAGAAGGUCUUCUCUUAGGAGAUGCUCAUGUUACCGGAAGUGCAAGCAUGCUGCGUCUUCCGGUGUGCAAAACUCCUAUGGCGCAAGGUGGGGUCCUCAAGGCCUCAUCCUACUUAUACGGAACUCACACUGACCGAAAGGGUCUUGUGGUGUUGUCAAGAGCAAGGACACACGAUGAUGAUAAAGUGCUUCCUUACAUGACAACUGUAAAACACUAUGUUUUCUCUACAGAUUAUUCUCACGGUGUCUCUCUUAUGGCCAAGAUGUGCAGUACUAGCGAUGAUGGAGGCUUCAGCGUUGAGAUUGAGAAGCCUUCAAAGCAUUCGAAAGGUGAGUUAUUGAAGAUGUUUGAUGAUGUCAAAGCAAAUGGGUGGUGGCCUCAUCCCACCAGUUCUGAUUGGCCAAUCCAGCUUCCAAACCAAAACAAGAAUCCUGCAAACCCUAAUCCUUUUCCUUCUUAUGGUGUCAUCAGCAGAUGCCUCAUCCAUAACGAUGGAUGUGUUAAUUCAUUUUAUUAACUUUAUUUUUAAAAAACUACAUAUAAUAAAUAAUAAUUAUCCUCAAACACUUUUUACUAUAAUACUUUUAAACGAUUAUUAUAGUAUUUAACUUUUUAAUUAUAUUUAUCUAUAAAAUUAAUAAGAAGAUUCUCCUUUUUAAUUACAAAAGGAAUAAGAGGAAUAAACUUAACAAAUUCCAAUAACAUUAAUACAAGAAAAAAGCACAAGUAAGUACUAAUUAGUGAUGAACAAUUUCUAAGUUUUUAAUAAAAAUUUAUUUAAUAGUAAAAUCGUUAAUGAAUCAAGAUUUCUAUUGUUUGAAAGACUGGAAGUAGUAUUUUAAAAUAAGACUUAUUUCUAUUACAGUUAAUGAAGAUGAAUAUUCUUUGUCUGAUGUGGUGUAUCAAAUGAAGUGCAUGUAAUCACACGAAAUCGCAAUAGAGAAAGGGAGGUUCUGAUGAACCUAAUUGCAAAUAAAAAAGAGACAAUGACUUAAGCAUAAAAGGGAGAAAAGUAUAGAAAAGAAAAUACAAAAGAAAUUCUUAUUUACUUGUGUAUUAGAGAGUAAAAUAUAUGGUGUAUAUAUAAGAAAAAGACUAAGACAUAACUGAAACAGAAAAGGAAAGUUGGUUCAAACAAACAAAGCCCAACAACUUAAAACAUAAAAACUAAAUAUGUUAACACCCCCCCUCAAGCUGGGGAGUAGAUAUUUGUCAGGCCCAACUUGGAUUUGAGAGUAGAGAACUGUGCGGAAGCAAGGGGCUUGGUGAAUAUGUUAGCAACUUGCAUGGAAGAAGUAAUGGGCAACAGUUUGAGGAGACCAGAGUUAAGUUUUUCACGAACUAGGUGACUAUCAAUUUCGAUGUGCUUGGUGCGUUCAUGAAAGACUUGAUUGGAUGCUAUUUGAAGGGUAGAUUUGUUGUCACAGUAUAGGGUUGUAGGCUGGGAGAGAGGAAGAUGCAAAUCCUGAAGGAGGUAAGACAACCAUUGUAGCUCACAUGUGGUGGUGGCAAACGCUCUAUACUCGGCUUCGGAGGAGCUGCGGGAGAUAGUUGGCUCUUCUUUGAUUUCCAUGAUAUCAGAGAGUCUCCUAAGUAGAUGGAAUAACCAGUGACAGAUUUGUGUGUGGUAGGACAUGUUGCCCAGUCAGAGUCACUAAAACUGAGGUGAAGUGAGCUAGUAUGAGAAAAAUAUAGUCCUUCACCAGGGGUGCCCUUGAGGUAACGCAAAAGACGUGAGACAACUUGUUGAUGAUGAGUUGUGGGUGCAGAUAUGAAUUGGCUUAAAUUGUGGACAGCAUCACGUGUUGGUUAAGUAGAUUAGACGCCCAAGGAGUCUUUUGUAUUGGGAAGUUGCAUCAGCAUCAAGAGGGGAGCCUUGAUUGGGAGAGAGACGGAAGGUAUGAGUCAUAGGAGUGACCACAGGUGCAGAGUCAAGCAUGCCAGUUUCGUGAAAAAGAUCAAGAUUAUAUUUGCGUUGACUUAAAUGAAGACCAGAACUGUUGCGAGCAAUUUCCAGUCCCAAAAAGUAAGUGAGAUUACCUAAAUUUUUUAUCUUGAAGUGAUAGUGAAGGGAUGCAGUAAUUGUAUUGAUUUCCUCAGUGUCAUCGCCAAUUAAGACCAAAUCAUCAACAUAAACAAGAAUAACAGUGAGUUUAUCGUUAUUAUAUAUAAGAAAAAGAGAGUGAUCAACAACAGAAAUAGAGUAAUUAUUUGAUAAAAGAAAAGUAGAAAGCUUAGCGUACCAUUAGCGACCAGCUUGACGAAGGCCAUACAAAGACCGUUGAAGCUUGCAAACAUGCUGGGGAGAAGGAAGAGAGAGGCCAAGUGGGGGUGUCAUGUAUACCAUGUAAGAAUGUAUCGCUUUAAACUAGAAGGGGGGGGGGGGGGUGAAUGGUUUAAAGAGGGUUUUCGCAAACUUUUAAGCCAAGAAUGAAAUUACUUCGAGAAACAAUUGAUAAGAAAAUCAGUUUGUCAAAACACAAAGCAAAAAACACAGCAUCAGAAAAACAAUCGGUUGUUUCGUAGAAACAAUUGGUUGUUUAUACCAGUUUACAAAUAACAAAACUGAAUUUAAAGAGAUUAAGGAUAGAGAGAAUGCACACAGAGGUUUAUACUGGUUCACUCUAAACCCAGAGCUACAUCCAGUCUUCCCAGAAACCACUGGGGAAUCCACUAAGCAAUCAACCCUAGAUUACUUACAACACAACCAAAGAAGUGACAUUGAUCCCCUCAAGACACACACUCCCUUUGGUCCAGCACAACAACAGUAAGAAUGCUGAUCUUGAUUCCCUCAAGAACACACAACACUUCUCAGCAAACACACAAGGUUCUUUCAAAAGAUACAAAGGAUUACACUUGUUACAUAACAAAUAUGAAAUCAAUACAAGAUGAAAAUCCUAUCUCACACUCUUUGAUCAAACUCAAUAUCUGAGCAAUUCUCAACUUUUUCUCUUAAGCAAAAUCUGUGAAAAACUCAAAUCUGUUUUUCUGUAUAUAUUCAAAGUUGUUGUUUGUUAUCAAAUCUUAAAAAACUAUUCAUUGCAUUUAAAGAUUGGUCAAAGCAUUAAAAAUUGGAGUGUAAACAGUUAGAAAAUCAUUUAAUGCUCAGUCAAAGCAUAAAACAAUUUUCUGUUAUGGUACCAAAACAAACAAUCGAUUGUUUCCAUGAAUCAAUCGGUUGUUUUGGUUUUGACAGCAAGUCAACCAUAAAAACAGUUUUCAAUAUUUCUAAAAAUAUCUAAGUAUAAAACAAUCGAUUGUUUCGACAAAACAACAGGUUGUUUUUCACUUAGUUUGAAAAACACUUUUAUUUUAAAAGGAUUGAGAAUGCUUAUGCUUUGGAUUCAAUCAAGAGUGGAUUAUACAUUAAAUCUACCCCAGAUCCUAUCUAAAAGACAUCUCAGCAACAACAAGCACAACUAGCCUUUCAUCAUCCUUCAAAGGGUUUGGAUUCUUCAAAGCUUGAACACACUUGGUUUAACAAUCUCCCCCUAUUUGAUGAAGACAAAUCCCUUAUUGCUUGUGUUGGAUCUGAUUGAAUUUGAAGCAGUACUUGCAACAUACAGUUUAAGCAAAGCACUUCUGAUAUAGGGUUAGAACAGAAACAGUAUAUCAGAGCAAAAUAUCAUAGCAUAGAAAAACCUACAAGGCUUUCUUUAAACAACCAUAAACUGUUUUGCAAAAAUUUUAAAACUGAAACAACACACAACAUAAUCUCCCCCUAUUUGUCUUCACAAAUAGACAAAAAGAAGAGAUAUAAAAAUAAUUGUUCUUAAUAAAACAGAAUUUAAGAGCAGAAGCAGAAAACAAGAGAAACUGAUACAAGCCAUAAAAACAAUUGGUUGUUCCGUGACAUCAACCGGUUGUUUUUCCUUUUUAAUCAUCUUUGGCAUAUUGUAGAUCAAAAAUAUGAUUCUGAACUGCCUCAAUCUGUUCAUCCAAAGUCAUGAAGCGUGCAUCCAUGCUGUUGAAUCUGUUAUCAAUGCUCUGGAAGUUUCUUACACACAGAUCAUGGAGAUUUCUUUGAUUCUCCGCAAAUCCAUCAAGCCUAUUCACCAUGUAUCUCUGAAAAGAAGACAUGGUUGACAUUCCAUCUUCCUGAUUUUCAGCACUAGGUCCAUCAUCUUGAUUUUUUUUAGGAUGAUCUUCAUGUUGAAAAUCCAUAUCAGCAGCAUGUUCUUCUUCUUCAAGAUCAGCAGCAACACUUGAUGAGGCAUCAUGGUCACCAUCUUUGCUUAUCCAUUUGCCACCUAUUUUGGUGAAUCCCAUUUUGCUGAGAGAUCCAUUGUUCAUCUCUUGAGUUUACUUGACCAACUCAGAUGUUUCAUCUUCCAGAUUCACUUCAAAAUACAACAAAAAUUUAGAAAUCAAAACAACAUAUGGAUAGUGAUAGUCACUUAACCUCAUUGCCUUUUGCAUGUGCUCUUUGAUGAUGUGGAUCCAAUUUAUUCUGAUCUUCUUCAUUAUGCAGUAGAUAUACACAAGGUCUUCCUCUGUAAGAACAGAAUGAUUGCUCCCCCUUGGAGUUAGAAUCCAAGUCACAAUAAGGGCCAACAACCUUUCAUCAAGCCUCAAACCCUUUGGUAACAACUCUAGCUUUGUAGCGCUCAACAGUGCCAUCAGAAUGAUAUUUGAUUUUAUAUACCCAUUUACAACAAUAGUUUUCUUUCCUAGAGGGAGAGGGGUAAGUUGCCAAGUAUUGUUAGCAGCAAGAGCUUGAAACUCAUCUUGCAUGGUAGAUUGCCAAGAAGCAUGUUUGGAGGCUUCGUUAUAUGUCCGAGGUUUAGGAUAAAAAUUGAUAGAGGAAAUAACAUUUCUAAAAUUGGAAGAUAAGGAAUUGUAAGACAAGUAAUUAAGAAUAGGAUAUCUACUACUUACAGUGUUGGUUGCAGUGUGGAAAUCUGCAAGAUAGGCAGGUUUUCGGUGAGGACGAGUUUAUCUCCUUGGAAAUUGGGGUGAGGUGCUUCCUGGAGAUGCAAGCGGUGAUAAUUCUGGUGGAGGUGCAAUGUUGGAUGCAGGAGCAGAGACACUAUUUGUUGGAAGAUCAGAGGAUAAUGAGGCUGGUGGAGGGACAAUAUUGGGUGCAGGAGUAGAGGCACAUGGCUCGACAGGAGGUGCAGUAUUAGAAAAAAAAAAUUAAAAGCAUAAUUAUAUGCGUUAGAAAUAGGGAGAGAUAAAGUGUUAGGGUCCUUAGGCAAGCCACAGUCCAAUUUAUAUGGAAAGUGAUUUUCAUGAAAGAUUACAUGUCUUGAUAUCUCUAUGCUAUGAAACUUUAAAUUUAAGAUAAUAUAACCUUUUGUAUUUUGCGGGAAGCCAAAAAAAUAAUACAUUUGAUAAAUCUAUCAUCUAAAUUUUUCCUGUGUGGAGUAAUGGUACUAGCAUAAUAGAGACAACCACUUUUUGAAAGGAAAUGUCAUAUGGUUUUCCAAACAACUUUUCAUGAUGAGUGAUGUUAUUAAGUAAUUGAGUAGGAAUAACAUUUAUUAACAAAACAACAUGAUUUACAGCAAAUUUCCAAAAAAUAGGAGGAAGAUUUGCUUGAAAAAGUAAAGCCCGAAUUAAUAAAACAACACAUGAUUUAGUAUGUGUUGAUGUUUACAUUCUACAAUGCCAUUUUGUUGUGGUGUUUCAACACAAGAUUUUUUAUGUAUAAUUCCCUUUGAAGCAUAAAAAUUUGACAUAGCAAACUCAACACCAUUGUCAGUACGAAUCGUUUUGAUAUUAGUUUUGAAAUGAUUUUGAACAAAAACAGUGAAGUUAAUGAUGUGCUAACGCACUUCAGAUUUGUUAUGCAGCAUAAUAACCCAAGUAUAACGCAAGUAAUCAUCAACAAUAGUCAAGAAAUAACGAAAACCUUGCAUAAAAAUUAUGGAACAUGGUCCCCAAAUAUCAAAGUGUACAAGAUAAAAAAUAGCAGAGGUAACAGUAUUACUUAAAGUGAAAGGAAGUUUUCUUUGUUUUGCGCGACUACAAGUGUCACAUACAUGAUGAGUAUCAACAGUAAUAAAAGAGUAUUGUUUGCUUAAGACAUGUAAUCUUUCAAGUGAAGGGUGUCCUAGUCUAUAAUGCCACAGUAUUUUGUCCGUGAUAUUACAAUUAAUAAAAGGAGCAAAACAAUGCGGUUUAGAACGGCUAGAAGCAGGCAAGGUAGUGACAAGGUACAAACCAACGGUGGCUUUAACUGUACCAAUCCUCUCUUGGGUGAGAUUGUCCUGUAUAAUGCAGUGGAUUGAAGUGAAAGUUAAAGUGCAUUUAAGUUGGUGUGUGAGUUUAGAAACAGAUAUUAAGUUUAAUUGAAAAUGAGGCACAUAUAACACAUCAGACAAAUAAAACUUGUCAGAAAAACGUACUAAACCAAAAUAUGUGGCAUAAACAGUUUGGCCAUUUGGAAGACUAAUUAAGACAUGUUUAAUUUUAGUAUAAGUAGUAAAAACGUUCAAAUUGUGACAAACAUGAUCUGUGGCACCAGAAUCAAUAAUCCAAGAUUCUUUUAUAGCAGAUAGUGAAGAGAGAAACUUACCUGUUGAAGAAUGCUCAGUAUUGGGGAUUUCAUUCGUAGAGAAGGUGCCGACUUGAUUCAUUUGAGUGUGAGGGGCAGGAUCCUCAAGGUUUUGCUAACGCAAAAUGUUGGUAAGGAAUUGGCACUGUUGUGAUGUAAGUUGAAUCCCUUUUACAUCCUGUUCUUUAGGAAAAAGCUCAGAAAAAGUGUCAGUAGUAAUCAUAUUAUUGGUUUGGGAUGUCCAAUUGGUGAUUUUGUAGCCAGGAGGGAACCCAUGCUUUUUAUAACAGGUGUCGACAGUGUGACCAAGACGAUUACAAAAAGUGCAGACUUUUCUAGUAAAAGAAAACUUUGAGGUUUUAACAUUACCAGAAGGAAAACCCACUUUGCGAAAACAAACAGCCUCAGUAUGACCAUAUUUACCACAAAAAUUGCAUGUAAUAGUGUGACUACUAUUAAGACUAUGAAGACUAGGGUUUUCAUUAAACAUUGUCUAAGAUAUUUUUAAACCCAAUGAAAAUUUUGAAAGAGAACAGAAAAGAUAACCAAGAACAACAAAGAGGGAAAUAAAGAUCAGAGAGAAGCGCAACAGAGCUCUUCAUUCGAAGAGCUCUGAUACCAUAUUACAGUUAAUGAAGUUGAAUAUUCCUUGUCUGAUGUGGUGCAUCAAUUGAAGUGCACGUAAUCACACAAAAUCACAAUAGAGAAAGGGAGGUUCUGAUGAACCCUAAUUGCAAAUAAAAAAGAGACAAUGACUUAAGCAUAAAAGAGAGAAAAACAUAUGACAAAGAAAUUCUUAUUUACUUGUGUAUUAGAGAGUAGAAUACAUGAUGUAUAUAAGAAAAAGACUAAGACAUAACUGAAACAGAAAAGGAAAGUUGGGUCAAACAAAUAAAACCCAAUAACUUAAAACAGAAAAACUAAAUAUGUUAACAACUAUUUCAAAUGUAUUUAUUUAUGUAAUUUUCAUUUAAAAAUUUAUUCACAUUGGUAGUAAGAUUUUUUAUUAAAUAUUAAUACAUUUUAGAGAUUAAAAUUUGUCAGGAAAUAUGUGGAUGAAGUUUCUUUAGAAUUAUUUAUGACCAUUAAAAGCAAUGAGUUAGAUUAAGGAUUUUUUAAGAUUUAAAUAACUCAUUGAAAAAACUACCUGAAAACACUAGACCAGUUGGUAAAUAAUUAGAUAGAAUAUUGAUAACAUUUUACAUUUUAUUAUAUAUUUAUAUUUAACAAAGUAAGACCGUAGUUUGCAUAUCAAUACUCUAAAAAUAAAGAUGAUAUAUUAACAACUUAUUAUGUGGUUACUAACUCCUGAAGAGGGAUCUACGAGUGUUAUAAAAAGGCCUAAGAUCCCAAACAAAAGGUGGAACUCCUCUCAUUGUAAUCUUUAAGUAUCUCAAAGCGACAGUUUUGAAAGAUUGAUCUGGAAUCCACCUCCAAGAUCCAACCCAGAUUUAUUGGCGAGAACAUAAUUAUUCAACGACACCAAAGUAAUUUACAAAAUUUUAAUUAACUCAAAAUCUACACAAAAUACAUCAUAUUUCAUUAUUUAAAUAAUUGUAAACACAAAGGUAAAUUUAUAAACUUACAUUUUACAUCUUUUAAAAAAUUAAAAAAAUCCUUCACAACCAUCACAUCUCUCACAAAUUUCAAUAAACUUUCCUCACAAAUCUACUCUAACAUAUACCUUAAUCCUAACAACUUCACUUUCUUCACACUUUCCUCUCAAAUUCAUAUACAUCCUCUCUCUCAAAUUCUCACACAUCCCCUCUUCAAUCAAACACAGACCUCCUAUAAUGACUUCCUUCUUUCAUUACUUCAAGCUUCCAUUUCUUUUCAAAAUCUGAAAAAAAGUAUUCCACUUCUAUAAUCUAAAAUAUUUUAAUAUUAAUUUUUAACACCAAUUAAAAAAUAAAUAAAUUCAUAACAUGAAUAAAAAAAAUCCAUUACAUAUGAUAAAACAAAUUAUUACAAGAGUUAUCAAUACCGACUCUUACGUUCCUUACAUUAUUCCUUACAUUAAAAUACAUGAUCUUGUGUCAGUAAUACAUGUCACACCAAUAUUAAAGAAUAAUAUACAUCAUUGUUUGUGUUUGGAUUAAAGAAUGAAAGUUUGAGGAUUAAUUUGAUUUGAAGAGAGUAAAAUGGAAAAUAUAAAGAAAAUGGGUGUGUGGAUGAAUAUUUAUUAAAGUUUGUGAUGCUUGUGAGACUAUUACAUAUAAAAUUAUAAAUUUAUCCUUAUUAUUAAAAAAUAUAAUAAAAAGUAUUAGGUCUUUUUGUCUAAAUUUUUUUGAUGAAUUAAAGUUAUUAGUAGUAUAAUUUGAUAUAGUUGAAUAAUUAAUUUUAGAAAAAUAUGAGUUACUUGACAAAAAAUAAUUUACAUGUAAAAUUUUGUAUAUAUAUGUAAAAAUUGUAAAUUGUUAUAUAGAAAUAAAUAAUUUAAAUAUUCAUAAAUUUAAAAAAUCCUUUUAUAUUAAAUAUAAAUGAUAUUAUUAUAUUUAUAAUAAUAAUAAUUUUAUAUAAUUUGUUUAUUAUAAAUAACAAUAUAUUUUUAUAUUAAAAUUUUAUUUUAUUUUAUUAUAAUUAUUUUAUUUUAUUAAAAUAUUUGUGUUAGUUAAAUUUAAUUAAUAACUAAUAUUUAUAAUGAAGUCUACUUUUUACUAAUGAAAAAUGAAAAAAAAAAUGUGAAACCCUAAAGUAAAAUAAGAUAAAUUUGGAAAAAAAUAUGAACUUACUUUAUCUUUGGUUCUCUUCAUUUUAAGGGGAGAAAAAAAUUUACUCUUCACACUUAUAUCUUCUCAUUCUCUUCUCCACAAAACCAUGAAUCCAAAUAAGAGAUAUACCUUGAUAUCUUUGCUUGUGAACAAUAAAUCUAUAAAAAAAAUAGACCCUUUAUUACUAUAAUCUACAUAUCCUUAGUAAUUAUUAGAACUAUAAAUGUCAACUCUUUAUAAUAAAAUGAAAUAUAAAUUGAGAAAGCAAAAGAAAAAUAAAACAAAAUUUCAAAUAUAAAUAUAAAUUUAUUACAAAGUGAACUUUAAGCUUAACUCAACCCCAUAUAACCAACUCAUGAGAUAAGGUUUGCACCCUCUUAUAUACAAUGAAUUGUUCUAAUCUCUAGUCGAUGUGGGAUCUCCAACAUACCCUCACGCCAAGAGUGACAACUCGUGCGUGAGAUAACAUAUUAUGGAUGGUUCGAUAACAGCCCGAUAGCGGGUGACCUGGUAAGCCCAACAAACAUUCGCUAGAAGGAUCUUAAUAUUAAUUGUGUCUUUUAUAAUAAUUAGUUGUUUCUCUAUAGAGGUAAAUAACCUUUAUUUUGUUUUGUCUUGUUAUGAUUCUAGUAUUUAUUUGAUUGAUUAUUUUUUUCUUUAGCAAAACCUAGAAUGAAUGUACUGCUUGUAUAUAUUCAGACUAUUUGUUUUGAUCUCAACAUAUAAUAUUAGAGAUAUUCAUUCUCAUAUAAUUUGUCUCCCUUUUACUCUUUUGUUCAUCUCUGUUCUAUUUUAUAAUAUGGUAUCAGAGCCAUUUUCGAGCCGGUUUUGUGGGGUUGAGUUAGGCUUAAAGUCCACUUCGUAAUAUGGUAUCAGAACUCUGAUUAGAGAUCUGGUUGCUACAUUUACCCUUGGGUGAAAUUGUUGAUCCCUUACAAGAUUUUUGUUCACCUUACCAUGUUAGUUCAUCAAAUAAUCCAUCAUUGAAUAGAGUUUGCUCUCUCGUUAGACGACAAGAGAGACAAAUUUUUAGUGAUCAAUCCAAGACAAUAAUUGCUACUAGCAAAGGAGGUUAUGAAAACAAUGCUACCAUCUAUGGCAGAGGUGGUGGAUACGGAAGAGGAAACUAUGAAAGAGACUAUACUGCCAAAAUUUGCAGUCAUUGUGGAAAGACAAGGCAUACCAUUGAUACAUGUUAUAAAGAACAUGGUUUUCCACCUCAUUUCAAGUUUAGAAAUCAUAACCAUGGUAUCAGAUUUAUUUUCGAGCCGAUUUUGUGGGGUUGAGUUAGGCUUAAAGUCCACUUCGUAAUAAAGUUAAAGCGAAAUAUAAAUUGAGCUUUUUUUCAUUAGCCCUCAAUGCAAAUAGUCAAAUGUCAGUCAGAGUCACAACUGAUAAAAAUUAUUUAUACAUUAUAAUUUUUGACAUCAUAAGCCUUUUAUUAUUCGCUCUGAAUUCUAAACUUGUUCUGAUUAGUUCAAGUAGCACUAUGCAGCCAGGGAUUGUGUGAAAGCACACUAGCAUUCUUCUCAGUUUCCUUGGUGAUCUUUGGGUCCAUAAGCUUCCCUUUCAGAAAAUUUGAGUACCAUUCAGCAGAAAGCUUAGGUUGCCUCCUUAAGUUUGUAUCAUUCAUAUCUACGUAAUAUAGACCAUAACUUAAUUCAUAUCCACCCACAAUCUCGAAUGUAUCCAUGAAGGACCAUACAAAAUAACCCUUUACGUUUAAUCCAC
rnacentral:lncRNA from 1 species